UACGGAGGGUGCGAGCGUUGUCCGGAAUCAUUGGGCGUAAAGGGCGCGUAGGUGGCCCGGUCAGUCUUUGGUGAAAGCGCGGGGCUCAACCCUGCGUCGGCCAGGGAUACUGCCGCGGCUGGAGCACUGUAGAGGCAGGCGGAAUUCCGGGUGUAGCGGUGGAAUGCGUAGAGAUCGGGAGGAACACCGAUGGCGAAGGCAGGUCUCUGGGCCGCAACUGACGCUGAGGAGCGAAAGCAUGGGGAGCGAACAGG
rnacentral:rRNA from 1 species